rnacentral:rRNA from 2 species
GGAGGCAGGGGCGUGCUAUACAUGCAGUCGUGCGGACCUUUUAAAGCUUGCUUUUAAAGGUUAGCGGCGGAGGGGUGAGUAACACGUGGGCAACCUGCCUGUGAGACUGGGAUAACGCCGGGAAACCGGGGCUAAUACCGGAUAGUUUUUUCCUCCGCAUGGAGGAAAAAGGAAAGGCGGCUUCGGCUGCCACUUACAGAUGGGCCCGCGGCGCAUUAGCUAGUUGGGGGGGUAACGGCCCACCAAGGCAACGAUGCGUACCCCACCUGAGAGGGUGAUCGGCCACAUUGGGACUGAGACACGGCCCAAACUCCUACGGGAGGCAGCAGUAGGGAAUCUUCCGCAAUGGACGAAAGUCUGACGGAGCAACGCCCCGUGAGUGAAGAAGGCCUUCGGGUCGUAAAACUCUGUUGCCGGGGAAAAACAAGUGCCGUUCGAACAGGGCGGCGCCUUGACGGUACCCGGCCAGAAAGCCACGGCUAACUACGUGCCAGCAGCCGCGGUAAUACGUAGGUGGCAAGCGUUGUCCGGAAUUAUUGGGCGUAAAGCGCGCGCAGGCGGCUUCUUAAGUCUGAUGUGAAAUCUUGCGGCUCAACCGCAAGCGGUCAUUGGAAACUGGGAGGCUUGAGUGCAGAAAAGGAGAGUGGAAUUCCACGUGUAGCGGUGAAAUGCGUAGAGAUGUGGAGGAACACCAGUGGCGAAGGCGGCUCUCUGGUCUGUAACUGACGCUGAGGCGCGAAAGCGCGGGGAGCAAACAGGAUUAGAUACCCUGGGAGUCCACGCCGUAAACGAUGAGUGCUAAAUGUUAGAGGGUUUCCGCCCUUUAGUGCUGCAACUAACGCAUUAAACACUCCGCCUGGGGAGAACGGCCGCCAAGCUGAAAAUCAAAGGAAUUGACGCGGGGCCGCACAA